rnacentral:lncRNA from 1 species
AUGAGAACUUCCCAAGACCAGAGCUGAAAUGUCCAAGUUUGCUUCAAUUACACUAUUUUCCCUUUCACCCACCCUGAGAUCAUAAUCAUAUGCUCAUGAAUCACACCAGAUACUUGAUGUAUGUGUGAGUGGAAGGGGGUCAACAUGUGAGAAAUACUUAUGGAUUGUUAUUUCCUACUGUUGAUAAGAAUCGAAACUCUAUUUGCUAAUUACACAGUGUAUUAUUACUAUUAAAAACACGAAGACCUGUAAGAUAAAGGUCUGAGGGGUUUGUCAAUCUGUUUUGUGAAUACUAAAGCAACACAAAACAAAGCUGAAGACUGGUCACUGAGAAUAGAGGAAUAGACAGUAAUUUCAGGAUGCAGUUCCUCCUCAUCAGUGACCUACACGCCCGUAUACACACACACACACACACACACACACACACACACACACACACACACACAUCACUGCGUAUACUUCCUCCUAUGCACAUAUCCAUAGUAGUUUAAUCAUUCCCUUCAUAGUAUGAUUGAGCAGAGGCAUGGCUGAACUCCCAAGGGUACUUGAAAAUUAUAUCUCUGAGAGAACAAAUAAGAGGUGAACAUGUAUACAUAUUCCAUACAAAACCCUAUUUAAAAUUUUUUCUACUCUUCUCAUUCAUGAGAUAGGAGAAAAGCAAACACAAAAGGGAAGUCAGGAAGACAAGAAGGAAGGAAACAGAAGUUAAACAGGAGUUAAAUCAUGACAGUCAUUCUGCAACACAGUCCCCUUUUGCAGAGGAUAAUAAGCGGCUUUGGUUAACGGAAGGCUUGUGCUAGAGAGGAAAUCACCUUGAAUUAGAAGGGAGUGCUCCUUUCUAACUUCAGUCUCGUUCAUAUUUACUUGUAUGGCCUUUGCUAGACAUUUCAAAUUUCUGAUACUUAUCUAUAAAAUGAGGAAACUUCUCCUCUGUGUGAAAAUGAGACAGAUCAGAUUACCUCCCAGGUAGAUUUUGAAACUCCAUGACUCCAUGCAUAUUUGCAAUUGCUGAAAAUAGACAGAAAUUCCUUCUGGAGAGGGGUACCCCUCUAUUUUCAAUGUAUACAUUUAGGGAUGAUUCACUAAUUCACGAAUUCAGGUUGAAUUAUGGUAGAGCCUUUCACCUGGUCCUAACACUCUGAAAAGUUGUACUUUUUAGAAGGGGUCAUGACUGGGCAAUUAGUCAUGUUUUCCUUGUGCCGCGACUUCAUGCCUAGUGCUGUAAAAGAUGUCCAUGUUUGUUUAUAUUUAACCACACUCUAAACUCUGAGUUGUGGUCAAUAAAAGAAACGAGGCAUUAUUUUAUGGUUAAAAUACCCUAAUCAGAUUUGUAGCAACAUGGAUGGACCUAGGGAUUACCAUACUAAGUGAAGUAAGUCAGAGAAAGACAAAUAUCAUAUGAGAUCACUUACACACUGAAUCUAAAAAAAUGAUACAAAUAAAUUUAUUUACAAAACAGAAAUAGGCUCACAGACUUUGAAAGCAAGCGUAUGGUUACCAAAAAGGAAAGGUGAUGGGGAGGAAUAUAUUAGGAGUUUAGGAUUAACGGACACACAUCACUAUAUAUAAAAUAGAUAAUCAACACGUACCUACUGUAUAGCACAGGAAGCUCUAUUCAAUAUUCUGUAAUAAUCUAUAUGGGAAAGGAAUCUGGAAUAUGUAUAUGUAUAACCGAUUCACUCUCAGAAAUUAACACAACACCAUUAGUUGAUUGUAAAUCAACUAUACUUCAAUACAAAAAUCAUUUAUGUGAAGUAAAAAAAAAAAGACCUUAAUUAAUUGAAACUAAAUUGCACCUGUCAAAAUAAACAAAUAGCAUAUAUUUUUGAAUGCAAAAAAAGAAAUACCCUAAUCAGAGCAUCAUCUAGUCACCAUAUUGUACACUGGAAUGGCAAAAUACACAGGGAAUGAUAAUAUCCCCUCCGCCAAAGGGACGCAUUAGUAAGAGCUUUUUGGUUCUAAAAGAACAUUUGUGUUACUCUUGAUGUUUUUGUGUGUCUUCAAAUUGUCCUUAGUGUCCCAGUCUCAACUCUAAGAUGGAUCAAGAGAAUGUGUCUGAAGCUGAGAAUAUACCAGUAUUUGUUGUUUUCCUAUUUGAAACCAAUGAGGAGGGAAGAAAACGGUAAAGGGGGUUCCAAGAAGGGCAACUGAAUUGGUUGAUGGGUGACUCACUUCCUCUUCCAAAUGGAUCUCAGUGCCUUUGUAGCUCUUGUAGGGGCCAUAUGUCAUCUGUCCAUAGCACCACUUCUCACACACAGUAAGUACCGAAUACAUGCUUAUUGAGGGAAUGGCAGCUACAAAAUUCAGAAAUUUAGCCAACAAGGCGGCUUGGAUCUAAUUGAUGCUGGGAUUUGUUGAACUCUUGAUAUGAAAUGUCAGUAAAAUCUUAUCAAGGUUUAUUUUUUCCUAAACUAGUUGCCUACCUUUCUCUUUUAUUACUUUGCCGUUACCCUUUAAGCACAACAGUGCUCAUCGUCUGGCUUGGCAGUAGGAAAACACUAUCAGAUUUAACAUUUUGAAUGGCAUAAACACCAGCUGUGAAAAAGCAUGUUUCACUAGAGAAAGUUUUGAAGCCAUUGUGCAUUUAAAAGUCUAGCAAUCAAUACACCAAAACAGUUAGAGCCUAUAUUAAAUGACUUGGAACAACUUGCAUUUCAGGUCACAGAAGUUGGCCAUUUCUGCUUUUGCUUUUGUUUUUGUUUUCCUGCCUCCUCUCUGGUCAGCUCAGAUAGGAAAGAACAAUCGAUGACAACAAUUGAACAACAGAUUUCUCAGAGAUGCACUUCUCAGCCGCUAAAGGAGUUUUUAUAAUUUAGAAAUUAAAGGACCAUAACAGAUAGCAUUCCAGAGGAAAAGACUUUACAAGAUAAUCAAAUACAGUGCUUCCCAUGAGACUGUACUUGGGCUGGAAUUCACAGUACCUUGGAAAUUACCUCUUGUCAUUGACCUCACCAGUUAAACUAACAAGUCAUGUGGCAACUGAAUCUUUAUGGUCAGACCUUAAAAGCAUGAGUAAUGAGAUAUUUCCAAUGGAUUUCCCCAUUCAUGAUGCCCUUGACCUCAAAAUCUUAGCUAAGUAUAUGCUGAUUAAUUAAGGAUUCAUUAAAAAAAGGAAAAAAAAACUCCUCACUUGGUUCUUGUAGUGCAAAUGCUCCCAAGCUAUUUGACAUUACAUUUCUACCUGGAAAAUCUGCUUAUGAGUGAAAAUUUCUUUAACAGUUGAGGUCCAUGGUAUGUCAUCUCUAGCUUGGUACUGUGUGACAGGCUAUAUACCACACUGGGCCCAGGCAUGGGCCUGGGAGUCUAGAGAUGUAGGUUUGCAUGAUCUUUGCUAAUUUAUCUUCCUUCUCUGUGUCCUAGUUUGUUCCUUUAUCAAAGGGAAAAACAGGACCAAUUGGCUGCUGAAUGUCUUGGGACUCUAACAUGCUACUGCCCCAGGGCAAGCCCUGAUGAUGGCUGAGAAAAUCUAAGGGUCCUGUGGGAGAUGGAAGGGUGGAUACAAGAUUUUCUAAGCAUGUUCCAUCACAAGUGACUGGAUAUAGUUCCCUGUGCUAUACAGCAGGAUCUCAUUGCUUUCCACUCCAAAUGCAAUAGUCUACAUCUAUUAACCCCAGACUCCUAUUCCCUUGGGAGAGGAGAAAUUCUAUAUAUGACUGGGGCACUUUGCUGUACAGUAGAAAUGGACAGAACACUGUAUCAACUAUAGUGGAAAAAAUUAAAAUCCUAAAAAAAAAAAAGAUUUUAUAAGCAGGGAAACAUUGGGGGGAGGAGGGAAAAAUGAGGCUUUAGGAUUAACAUACUACUCUAUAUAAAAUAGAUAACUGACAUAGACCUACUAUAUAACACAGGGAAAUUUACUCAAUAUUCUGUAAUAACCUAUAUGGGAAAAGAAUCUGAAAAAGAAUGGAUAUACGUAUAAUUGAUUGACUUUGUUAUAUC